rnacentral:rRNA from 1 species
GACGAACGCUGGCGGCGUGCUUAACACAUGCAAGUCGAACGGAAAGGCCCCCAUCUUGGUGGGGGUGCUCGAGUGGCGAACGGGUGAGUAACACGUGGGUGAUCUGCCCUGUACUUCGGGAUAAGCUUGGGAAACUGGGUCUAAUACCGGAUAGGACCAUGGUUUAGUGUCUCAUGGUGGAAAGAUUAUUGUUUUGGUGCAGGAUGAGCUCGCGGCCUAUCAGCUUGUUGGUGGGGUAAUGGCCUACCAAGGCGUCGACGGGUAGCCGGCCUGAGAGGGUGGACGGCCACAUUGGGACUGAGAUACGGCCCAGACUACUACGGGAGGCAGCAGUGGGGAAUAUUGCACAAUGGGCGCAAGCCUAAUGCAGCGACGCCGCGUGGGGGAUGACGGCCUUCGGGUUGUAAACUCCUUUCGUUAGGGACGAAGCCGCACUUUUUUUGGGUGUGGUGACGGUACCUUUGUUAAGAAGCACCGGCUAACUACGUG